AUAGCUUUAGGGCUAGCCUCAAGGUGAGAGAUACGGAGGUAGAGCACUGAAUGUCCUAGGGGGUAUUGCACCUACCGAAGACUAUCAAACUCCGAAUGCCGUCAUCUUAUACUUGGGAGUCAGACUGUGGGUGAUAAGAUUCAUAGUCGAAAGGGCAACAGCCCAGAUCGUCAGCUAAGGUCCCUAAAUGUAAGUUAAGUGGUAAAGGAUGUGGGAUUGCACAGACAACCAGGAUGUUGGCUUAGAAGCAGCCACUCAUUCAAAGAGUGCGUAAUAGCUCACUGGUCGAGUGAUCCUGCGCCGAAGAUUUCCGGGGCUAAAACUUAC
rnacentral:rRNA from 1 species